GGUCUGGUGGCUCAAUUGGUAGGGCGUCUGACUUCGAAUCAGAAGAUUGCGGGUUCGAGUCCCGUCUGGAUCGA
rnacentral:tRNA from 1 species